rnacentral:rRNA from 1 species
CCGUUCUCAGUUCGGAUUGUAGUCUGCAACUCGACUACAUGAAGUCGGAAUCGCUAGUAAUCGUAGAUCAGCUACGCUACGGUGAAUACGUUCUCGGGUCUUGUACACACCGCCCGUCACACCAUGGGAGCUGGUAAUGCCCGAAGUCGGUUUUGUUAACUUCGGAGACCACUG